rnacentral:rRNA from 1 species
UGGGGAAUUUUGGACAAUGGGCGAAAGCCUGAUCCAGCAAUGCCGCGUGUGUGAAGAAGGCCUUCGGGUUGUAAAGCACUUUUGUCCGGAAAGAAAUCCUUGGCUCUAAUACAGUCGGGGGAUGACGGUACCGGAAGAAUAAGCACCGGCUAACUACGUGCCAGCAGCCGCGGUAAUACGUAGGGUGCAAGCGUUAAUCGGAAUUACUGGGCGUAAAGCGUGCGCAGGGCGGUUUGCUAAGACCGAAUGUGAAAUCCCCGGGCUCAACCUGGGAACUGCAUUGGUGACUGGGCAGGCUAGAGUAUGGCAGAGGGGGGUAGAAUUCCACGUGUAGCAGUGAAAGUGCGUAGAGAUGUGGAGGAAUACCGAUGGCGAAGGCAGCCCCCUGGGCCAAUACUGACGCUCAUGCACGAAAGCGU